rnacentral:sRNA from 1 species
AUGUACAACCCUUACACUCCGGUUCCUCCGCGCCGUCCGCACCCACCUGACGACUGCUCGCUACGUUUUGUUAGCC